GGACUCCUACGGGAGGCAGCAGUGGGGAAUAUUGCGCAAUGGGGGGAACCCUGACGCAGCAACGCCGCGUGCAGGAAGAAGGUCUUCGGAUUGUAAACUGUUGUCGCAGGGGAAGAAGACAGUGACGGUACCCUGUGAGAAAGUCACGGCUAACUACGUGCCAGCAGCCGCGGGAAUACGUAGGCGACAAGCGUUGUCCGGAUUUAUUGGGUGUAAAGGGAGCGUAGACGGUGCAGCAAGUCUGAUGUGAAAGGUCGGGGCCCAACCACGGGACUGCAU
rnacentral:rRNA from 1 species